rnacentral:snRNA from 1 species
UCACUUCAGCAGUACACAUACUAAAGUUAAUGUGAUACAAAGAAGAUUAUCAAGGUUUGUACUCAAGGAUGAUAUGCAAAUUUAUGAAAUGUUUCAUAUUUGG